rnacentral:rRNA from 1 species
UACGUAGGGUGCGAGCGUUAAUCGGAAUUACUGGGCGUAAAGCGUGCGCAGGCGGCUUCGCAAGUCAGACGUGAAAUCCCCGGGCUCAACCUGGGAAUGGCGAUGGAUACUGGCGGGCUAGAGUGCGGUAGAGGAGAGUGGAAUUCCCGGUGUAGCAGUGAAAUGCGUAGAGAUCGGGAGGAACAUCAGUUGCGAAGGCGGCUCUCUGGACCAGUACUGACACUGAGGCACGAAAGCGUGGGGAGCAAACAGG